rnacentral:lncRNA from 1 species
CUGAGAUUUGAGACUGUUGGAGGAAGCAAAACUGUGUGUCUUUCAUUAACGGAGGCAGAGAGGUUAAUGGAGACUUCUGCAUUACUCAGAGCCAGGUUUCUUAUGAGCCCUUAGAUGAAGCUCUAUUAUUCUCAUCUACUCUGCAGAGGAGAAAUGAAAAUAUACCCCCCAAACUUGGGUAAACAGAUGGGUGUUUAGGAGGCACUGUCCAGUCCCAGGGUUCAGCCAUGAACAAGACAGGAAUGUCGUCGGUCUCCUCUUGUUACUCACAUUCUAAAGGCGGAAAUGGUGCAAUGAAGCACAUAAAAGACGGUGAUGUGAUUGGCAGGUGAUGGGGUGGGGUGGUUGGGCACUCCUUUCGAUAGGGUGGUUGAGGAGAUGAUGAUGAAAAGGAGGCAGCCCUGUGAAGACGUUGGGGCUGAGGGGUCCAAGCAGAGACACAUCACAUUCAAGCAAAUGCCCUGAAGUGGGAAUGAGCAUGGUCUAUUGGCGGAAACAAAAGACACCGGUGUGGCUGGAGGGAUGUGAGAUGUGGGUCACAGUGAGAGUUUAGAUUUUUAGUGAAAUAGGAAGUUGCUAGAGGAUUUUAAGGAAAGAAGUCAUGUCCACGUUUUGCUUUCUCCUAAGUUCACUUAGCUGUGAGGAGAAUGGAUGCUAGUGGGCAGAUGUGUAAUCAAGGAAACCAAAGAGGACUCCAUGGCGGUGGUCCAGGCAGGGCAGGCGGCUGGGACUACAGCUGUGUAGGGGAGAUGUGAGAAGUGGGGGUGCAGGAUACAUUUUGGACAUGGGGCUUGGCAGUGGACUGGAAUUUGGGAAGCGAGGGAAAAAAUGACCCAGGAAUGGUUCCUAAAUGUUUGGCUUGACUGGCUGGGUGGAUGGUGGUACCAUUUCCUUAGAUGGGGGAAGUCUAAGGAGGAAUAAGUCUGGGAGUAAAAUCAAUGCUUUGUUUUGAUCCAGCUAUUUUUGGAAUGCUAUGGACCAAACAUAACUGUGGCUAAAAAUAAUACUUUUGCCGAAUCUAUCUGCAAUAGAAGGAGAGAUUUAGGGCACAGAGUAUAUGAACGACCAAAUAACAUUAGGAUGAUGCUGUUUCAGACCUAGAACGCCAACAAACGGUUGCCAUUGGGAGGCCCCUGGAGCGCUGUGCUUCUCCUCGAGAUUAUCGCAGCGUGAGGUCUAUUCAGAAUUUGUGGUCACUUCAGUUUUUUUCUCCCGUCACAGAUGUGUGGAUAUAUAUGCCUACAUUCUGGUGUUUAUCAUCACCUCGACACUGUCUAUUAACAGGCUGUGGAGAAAAAUAUCCAUCUGGAUGAGACGGACAGGAUCGCGGGACAGGAGGACUCUCAAUUUCACGCUGGAGCGCUGGGCUUUGCAGUUGGCCUCAGCGGGCGAUCGUUUCCUUGCUUAGUUAAAACAUAAAUCAGACUUCUGAACUAAUUUUAUUAUUUGCUCAUGGGAUUUUUAUUCGCAUUGAAAUAUAUUUUAAGAACAACAUGAAGUAAUUUCAAAUAUCUAUACACAACUUUUAUCAGCAUCUUUAUUCAGCUCAUUGAUUAGAUUUUUCUUGGUUACAAUUUUAUCAGAUCAAACAUUUGACACAUUUAAAUGCACUCAACUUCUUUUUGAGGAAGAUUAGCCCUGAGCCAACUACUGCCAGUCCUCCUCUUUUUGCUGAGGAAGACUGGCCCUGAGCUAACAUCCAUGCCCAUCUUCCUCUACUUUAUAUGUGGGAUGCCUGCCACAGCAUGGCGUGCCAAGCGGUGCCACAUCUGCAUCCGGG